UGUGUAGGCGGCUACGCAAGUCGGAUGUGAAAUCCCUGGGCUUAACCCAGGAAGUGCACCCGAUACUGCGCGGCUUGAGUACCGGAGAGGUUGGUGGAAUUCUCGGUGUAGAGGUGAAAUUCGUAGAUAUCGAGAGGAACACCGGUGGCGAAGGCGGCCAACUGGACGAGUACUGACGCUGAGACACGAAAGCGUGGGGAGCAAACAGGAUUAGAUACCCUGGUAGUCCACGCCGUAAACGAUGGGUGCUAGGUGUCACGGGCUUUGACUCCUGUGGUGCCGUAGCCAACGCAUUAAGCACCCCGCCUGGGAAGUACGGCCGCAAGGCUAAA
rnacentral:rRNA from 1 species